rnacentral:piRNA from 1 species
UUCUUGAAUAAAAAAUCAAUU